GUCACUGUGGCCAAGUGGUAAGGCGUUCCACUCGUAAUGGAAAGAGCGCGAGUUCAAUCCUCGUCAGUGACA
rfam:Hanseniaspora uvarum DSM 2768 Contig_11, whole genome shotgun sequence.